UGCCUCGAAAGAAGCACCAGAACUAACGGGAGACGAGCGUUACAUGGCACAGAAAGACAAGAGAAACAUCGAUUUCGGUCUAAGAUGGAGAGAAAAAUACGAUUUUGAUGGCCGCCUAAAUGUAGAAAAGCUGGAAUCCCUUAUAAAACAAAUACAUAAGGAAUGUGGUAAUAAUGUGAAAAAGCAGGAUAAACAAGGGUUGUAUACAGCCAGGGUCUGGCUUACGGAAGCCAGGAAAAGAGUGGAAGUAGAUAAAAAGAAAAAAAAACAAGAUACUCUGCCCUCCGCUCCUACAGUGGAAAAAAAUGGUCAAUCGGGUGGGGGUGGGAAUCAAAACCUAUAUCCUUCUCUAGUGGACCAGGCAUACAGAGAGACUCCCGACGAUAAGGUGGUGAUGGCUCAGAGGAGAGGGCAAGUGCCGCUCCGUGCUGAGCCUCCUCCAGCUUAUGAUCUGGGAGCGAACGGUAUGAGUCCAGAGGGGCAGAAAAGCACAGAGAAAGAGCAAGAACUGAUUAGAACAGUAUUGAGAAGGGUAAACAUGGAAAGGGCAUUGGUAGAGACUCAGACAGUGAAGGAAGAAAAUAGGUCGGGUAAGGAAAAAUAUCAGACACCUUCACCGAAUCAAAACCGAUCAGGACUACUUAGAAAACCCUCCGAUAUAGGAGAGAAAAAUAGACCGCGGCCUGGGAGAGAUUUACAGUACUAUAGCAGGGAAGAAGACAGUGCAGAGAGAGAGGGGCAGUUUCCCCUGAUAGAGCUGCCCAACCCCCAAGCUGAGAUAGAGAAUAACGAACCCACGGUUCGGGUCUAUCGACCCUGGACACAGAGAGACGUAGAAAUGGCAGUAGAAGGAAUUCCACACCCAAAAACAGGAAUGGCAGGUUUUGAAAGAGAUCUCAACGGACUAGCGUCCAGUUUCAGGCUAAACACAGGGGAGGUGGAAAGAGCAGUUAGAACCAUAGUGGGAAAGGAUUGGUUUGCUGCGCGCGGAGCCUGGGUGCCAACAGGGAAUAAUGGGGACAUCAUACAGUGGAGCGCGGGACUUGGGGAGCCAUUUAGAGUGAAAAUUACAGAACUAUGCGCGAACCUAACUGAACAUUACCACCGACACGCCGACUUCUCUAAGUUUUAUGCCCAGCAGGAGAACUACGGAGGGAGGUGGCACACGAGAUUCAACCAGGAGACUGGAUCUGGGUCCAAUCGCUAAAGAGAAAAAACUGGAAACAGCCUCGGUGGGAGGGACCAUUCCAAGUACUACUGGUGACUGCCUUCGCUGUGAGAUUAGCCGAAAGAGCUACCUGGGUACAUAUCACACAUUGUAAGAGGGUAAGUCACACUAGCACUGUCAGACGAUCACAGGAGUAGGAGAGGAACCGUGACCCAUAUGGAAUGGGGGUCAAACUCCUUCUGAAGAUUCCCUAUACCCGACCUUUCCCCAGCUGUGAGCGUUCAUAGAAGUGAAGUGAUGGCUUGGCCUCUGGCUGUUGAUAUGUUCUCGGGGAGAGGGUGGGGCUUCACGUGCGCACUGACCGUCCUGAGCUGUUUUAUUGUGGGGGCCAUAUUCCUGAUUCACCAUGAUCCCCCGGAAAGUGCCAAAGAGGAUAAUUUGACUCAUGUGCUAGAUGAGGGAAAUGGGAUGUUACCUAAGAUUCUCAGAAGGUCACUGAAACAAAAUAGUAAGGAAGUGAGGGUGGAAUUGGGCAAGGAUCUCUCAGUAGAAUUUUGUGUAGAUCAAUUGGGGUCAUUCACCCCUUGGCAGUCUAGAACCAUGGGACUCUAUGGGAAGUAUUUGUGUAAAUCACCGUGUAAGUCGUGGAGCCAGGUCAUAGCUCACACUGAAAGGGAUGGCUACGUAAACCCAUACACUCAAUUUGGGACCAGGUGGAGUAUAGUAAGGGUUGGCGUUUUGGACUGUGUUCCCGAACAGAGGAAGUAUUGUAUAAAGGUGCGAAUUAACAUUAAGGCGGUCAAUACUCAGGAUCUCGGGUUAUGGUAUGUGGGCUUCGACCAGUUUUCAACUGAUACUAUGGUACCGUUCCAGGUGGCAGAAGUUAGAGUUGAUAAAGAGAAUAUGAUUGGCCGAAGUUCAACCAAUCCCUCUAACACAACGGCUAUUCCUAGUGUAAUCAUCCAGGGUAAAGGAGCAGUACGAAUAGUUCAGACCAAGGACCUUAAUUAAAGAAGUUAUAGAGGUGGAGACUGGGUUUGGGGAGUCCAACUUAUGGUUGGAAUGGAUUCAAUAUACGGCCAGAUCAGUGGCCAAAGAAGAAUGCUAUGCCUGUGCGAACGCUAAACCACAGUUAACAACUAUCCCUUUCCCACUGAACGGAAUUAAUUCCCCUAAGGGAAUGGCAUGUAUGGUAAAGCUGUUCAUGAAAGCAGGAAUGCCAAAUAAUGAUAGUUGUAUUGAUUUACACUAUUUAUAUCCCCAGGUUCCACUUAAAUCAAGACUUCCUCCCUUUACCGUGACGAGAGGAGAAUAUUACUGUUUGGCCAGAUACAGUACACACGGGAAAUACGUGGGGGAAGUUGGUACCUGCAAUAAGACAGAGAAUAUUACCACUGACGAGACCAUGUCUGAUUUGACAGGCUGGUUGAACUCUGGAGAUUUCAAAAUGUUGAAGGUGGCCAGGGCUGACAUCUGGUGGUUGUGCGGAGGAAUGAGUUUGUGGCCGGUAUUACCGACUGAUCUGAUUGGACUGGACUAUGUGCUUUAGUACAUUUAGGAAUGCCUUUUACACUCAUACAACACCAAGACAUGAAGUUAGCCAAACGAGAGAGAAGAGAUGCUCCAUCUGGGUCUUUUGACGACAGAGUAUAUAUUGAUAACAUUGGGGUUCCACGAGGGGUGCCGGAUGAGUUCAAGGCAAGAAAUCAGAUACUAGCAGGAUUAGAGUCAAGUAUUUUUUGGUGGUCUACUCUCAAUAAGAAUGUAGACUGGAUUAAUUAUAUUUAUUAUAAUCAACAGCGCUUUAUCAAUUAUUCCAGAGAUGCGAUUAAAGGGUUGGCAGAACAGACUGAAGCAACCAGCCUGAUGGCUUGGCAGAAUAGAAUUGCAUUGGAUAUGUUAUUGGCUGAAAAGGGAGGAGUAUGUGUGAUCUUCGGGAACAUGUGUUGUACUUUCAUCCCGAAUAACACAGCUCCGGACGGAUCUGUGACCAAAGCCUUAGCUGGUUUGACCACCCUGGCUCACGAGUUGGCAGAAAACUCUGGGGUGGAUCCUUCCCUGACUAAUUGGUUUGAUAGUACAUUUGGAAAAUGGAAAAGUGUGGUAAUCACGGUGUUUUGGGCUGUAUCUACCUGUAUGACUGUUUUAAUUUUAUGUGGCUGUUGUCUAAUUCCCUGUGUGCGAGGCCUUGUUUCCAGGACUCUGGAAAGAUCAAUGACCCUACAGAUGGUGCGUUAUGGGCCGAUUCCAGGUUCUGACCUGUGGAGGACUGAAGGCAUGUCUACAGAGGAAGUGGACGAAUCCGGAUCUGUCAUUUGUGGGGAAUUUAUGUUUGAUGAGGCUAGUGUUGAGAUAAAAGGGAAUUAGAUUGUAAUUGGUUUCCAUGAUUAAACUGUUUUUUUAAUGAAGGUCGUGACGAAAAUCCGGAAGGAAGAGUUAUGAUUCUGAUGUAGGUUUAAAAACAGUUGGAGUUAAGGUUAGAAUUGAUUAAUGAAAUGUGAAGAGUUGGAUAAACAUUUAUAAUUGAUUUGUUGAUUAUUUGUCUAUUCAUAUGAUAAUCUGAUAAACCUCUAUAAAAAGGUUAGUUAAGUUCGUUUAUACAUUCAUUUUUUAUGAUUAAAUAAAACUAGAUGUAGAAUUGAAUGUAUAAUAUUUGAUCAAACGGAGGAUUGUUAGAGGAAAAUAUAGUUUAGAUGAUCAAUUAUGUAUACAUUAAUGAUUAGAACCAUUUAUGCUAAUACUAUUAUGUUAUGAUUUGAAAAGUAUGGGUUCUUAAUUGUACUGUUACUGAAAAUGUAAGCAGAAAUGAAUUGUGUCUGUGUCUCCUGGGAAAGUUUAAGAAGGAGGGAUAAGAUAGUUUUUCAAACAGAUAAGAAUGUUUUGGUUGGAUUCCAUUAGGGAGAGAAGUAUAUCCUUUAGACAGGUUGGAAUGUAGUUUAUGAGGGGAGUGAAACUAUCUCCAGGACCGAAUACUACACCAUUGUAAGGCUGGGAGAGGGUGUGAAACUGAUGACGUCAUUUUAUGUCUUCUUUCUUUAAAAUGUAAUGUUCUUUGUAUUUUGGGUCAGUACUCACUUGAAUUAAACGCUAUUUACCUGGC